rnacentral:tRNA from 1 species
GCCCAGAUGGUGGAAUGGUAGACACGAGGGACUUAAAAUCCCUUGGCCAGUAAUGGCCGUGCGGGUUCGAGUCCCGCUCCGGGCACCA